CCGAUCCGGCGCACAGUGUGAGAGACCGCCUGAGCAUGUGGAGUUUUUUCAGAUGUUCUUCUUUUUUUCUUUUGCUCUCUGGAUGCGACACCGGAUUUGAGAAUGGCCCUCAGUCGGCAGAAUCUUCAUGGCAAAUCCAAAAGACUUGAUGGGACAUUUUCCACAUUCCCCAUACCCUGAUCACAAAUCUGAAUCGACAGACCAGGAUGGAUGCUUGAUGUCCCUAAUUUCUCAGAUUAGCUGUUUACGAGAUUCGAACAUCCAUGACGCCUUCUUAUCAUCAGAGAAACUCUAUUCGUGGUUGAGUGAAGUAAGAAAAGUCUUUUGUUGAAAUGGAUCACAAAGCUCAAUUGAUGAAUUCUUCGAGAUUGUUUUAAAAUGGAAGAAUACAAAACCACUCACGACGGCUGCUUCUUUCUUUUUCCGGGAGCAGGUCUUCUGGCUUUACAACCCCUCCUCCAGAUUCUGUCAUCAAGUGAUGACCACAGGGCUGCUCUGUGUACUGCUGUCAGACGCGACAGUGAAAUUUUGUAAUUUCACUGUCGCGGUCCUCCUGCAUGACAGAAAAUAAUUGGACAUUACUGCUCACGGGGAGGACUUCUCUCAUUGGAGUCAGCUUCUGGGUCCCAGUGAGAGGGAUGGGGUCGAGUCCAUAUGUUUGUAUGCGAGUAACCGAACAUGAGAAACUCACAUCCCCUUUCACAAGCCAAACCUGCAGAGCAGGGUGGAGCAGUUCCAUCAUGUAUCUGCAGGCUAAGUAUUUGUUGCCUCUUGAAUUUCAGAGGCCACAAAAUCCAUCAGUCCUGAUAUUAUUCAUCUCUGAUACUCUGUGCCACCCUCCCAAAGAUAUAUUAAGAGACAUUUUGGGCAGGAGCAGCUAAAACUAAUGCUAACAUAGCCCAGCUGUAAUGCAGUUGACUAAUACUACACUUGAAAAAACCUCAGACAAGUGUCACAUACAGUAACACUGCAGACAUUCCCUGAGUGCAGUUCGUUGUGGGUGAUCUUUCUGUGCUUGGCAAACUACAAAACAGUCUGCCAUUGCCUUCACCUUUCAAGUUCCCUUCCAUGAAACAGAUCAGGCUGCACUCUUAGAAUGUGACUUUUCAUAUUUGUCCAGAUGUGUGUCAUUAAACAAACAAAAAAAAACACACAGGUCACACAGAGGGCCCUGGGAAUCAUCAUUUUAUCAAUCUCCCCACUGUCACUUACUCUUUGACUGUCCAAACUCAAAACCCACCUUUUUACCAGGGCCUGUGUCUACUAGCCCUACAAUCUACUCCUACUGUCUAGACUAGAUUAGCUCUUGUUCGUCUGUUUUCUUUUACUUGACAUUGUACUAUUUUUGUCUUUAUCACUAUGUACAGUGUCCUUGUAUUUAAAAAUAAGUUUGUUAUUAUUACUGUGUAAACACUAGCCUUAUGCUGUGAUGUUUGUGCCUGUCCUUACAUGAUGUACAAGGCGUAACUACUGUACACUAGAUCUUUCUUUUUGCUCUAACUGUUGCCUUGUAGUUAUAUUCUUGAUGCCUUUGAACAUGAAAUUAAACAUCCAUGUACUGUUAUUGCAAAACAAAAAUCGUUCUUACUUGUGUGGCUUCUGUGAAUUUCUUCUGACUAUCAAUCUACUGCAAAGAAAAAAUAAAAGACAAUGGUCAAAAACCACAGUGUUUUCCACACACA